rnacentral:rRNA from 1 species
AACGAACGCUGGCGGCAUGCCUAACACAUGCAAGUCGAACGAGACCUUCGGGUCUAGUGGCGCACGGGUGCGUAACGCGUGGGAACCUGCCCUUAGGUUCGGAAUAACUCCCCGAAAGGGGUGCUAAUACCGGAUAAUGUCUUCGGACCAAAGAUUUAUCGCCUUUGGUUGGGCCCGCGUUGGAUUAGCUAGUUGGUAGGGUAAAAGCCUACCAAGGCGACGAUCCAUAGCUGGUCUGAGAGGAUGAUCAGCCACACUGAGACUGAGACACGGCCCAGACUCCUACGGGAGGCAGCAGUGGGGAAUAUUGGAACAUGGGCGAAAGCCUGAUCGAGCAAUGCCGCGUGAGUGAUGAAGGCCUUAGGGUUGAAAAGCUCUUUUACCCGGGAUGAUAAUGACGGUACCGGGAGAAUAAGCGCCGGCUAACUCCGUG